ACCCUAAUCUCUCUGCCUUCACCAAAUGUUCGAAACGACGACGCGACGACUCCUCCCCACUCUCAGUCGCCGACGAUGCGAUCUGGGACACGGUACAACACCAAAUGGUUAAAAACUCUUUUCCGCCACUGACCACCAAGAAUCAGUGGCUACUGUCGACAAUGGAGAUGAACUCUGCAGUAUAUGGUCAUAGAUAGGGAGAAAAGCUCUCUUGGAUUUGAGGAGUUCUUGAAGAAAAUCUGAGACAGAAACUUAUUCUCAAAAAUAGCGGUGGCAGAUAAUGAAAGCAAAGUUAAGACAAAUAUUCAUGAGGAAAUGAUCUCCAACAAUGACAAAAAGCAUCAAAGACAAACCAAUAUUAAAUCCUGAUACUGGAUGAGUCAAUUUGCAGGAGAUGAUAUAAAAGAACAGACAUCAUGAAGGGGCCAUGACCGGAAGAAUAAAAAGUUAGCAGUGGAUGCUAUGGCAGAUUAAAGGUGAUUCAUUCAGCCGUGACACAAUACAAACCCUAAUAUAAAUGAGCCGCCUCUCACUCUACAGAAUAAGGAGAGAGGGUUCUAGACAACUGGAACGCCACAAUCCACAAAGAGAGCACGGAUAACGUGGCAGGCGUGGGUGCCUAAACUCUACUCUACUCUACUCUACUUUACUCAUCAGCACAAAACAGAAAAGGGACAACAUCUCAUUGAAAAGAGACAAAUGGAUCACUGACAACUUUCUCUCUCAUUUCAAAAAUAGAUUUUGUAAUAGAAGAAAUAGAUUUAGUAAUAGAUAGUAGUAAUAAAAUACUACAACCUAUACAUACCUUCAAGGCUGCAACGCCAUAGUAGACUGGAUCUAUUGUGUGCAAAGAGAAAAUAGGCGUGCAACUCAAAAAAUGAAUUUUUAAAGCAUACAAAAUUAUU